GAUGAAGAACGCAGCGAAAUGCGAUAAGUAAUGCGAAUUGCAGAAUUCAGUGAAUCAUCGAAUCUUUGAACGCACAUUGCGCCCGCCAGUAUUCUGGCGGGCAUGCCUGUUCGAGCGUCAUUUCAACCAUCAAGCCCCCCGGCUUGUGUUGGGGACCUGCGGCUGCCGCAGGCCCUGAAAAGCAGUGGCGGGCUCGCUGUCACACCGAGCGUAGUAGAUCUCAUCUCGCUCAGGGCGUGCUGCGGGUUCCGGCCGUUAAACCACCUUCAUAACCCAAGGUUGACCUCGGAUCAGGUAGGAAGACCCGCUGAACUUAAGCAUAUCAAUAAGCGGAGGA
rnacentral:misc_RNA from 1 species